rnacentral:rRNA from 1 species
UACGGGGGGGGCAAGCGUUGUUCGGAAUUACUGGGCGUAAAGGGCCAGUAGGCGGCCAACUAAGUCCGACGUGAAAUCCCAAGGCUUAACCUUGGAACUGCGUCGGAUACUGGAUGGCUUGAAUUCGGGAGAGGGAUGCAGAAUUCCAGGUGUAGCGGUGAAAUGCGCAGAUAUCAGGAGGAACACCGGUGGCGAAGGCGGGUCUCUGGGCCGUAACUGACGCUGAGGAGCGAAAGCAUGGGGAGCGAACAGG